AGAGUUUGAUCCUGGCUCAGGAUGAACGCUAGCGAUAGGCCUAACACAUGCAAGUCGAGGGGCAGCACAUGAAGUAGCAAUACGGAUGGUGGCGACCGGCGCACGGGUGAGUAACGCGUAUGCAAUCUACCUACAACAAGGGAAUGACCCGUUGAAAGACGGACUAAUACCCUAUAAAACAGGGGUCCCGCAUGGGAAUAUUUGUUAAAGAUUUAUCGGUUGUAGAUGAGCAUGCGUUCCAUUAGCUUGUUGGUGAGGUAACGGCCCACCAAGGCAACGAUGGAUAGGGGAACUGAGAGGUUUAUCCCCCACACUGGUACUGAGACACGGACCAGACUCCUACGGGAGGCAGCAGUGAGGAAUAUUGGUCAAUGGACGCAAGUCUGAACCAGCCACGUCGCGUGAAGGAAGACGGCCCUACGGGUUGUAAACUUCUUUUGUAAGGGAAUAAAGUGAGUCACGUGUGACUUUUUGCAUGUACCUUACGAAUAAGGGUCGGCUAACUCCGUGCCAGCAGCCGCGGUAAUACGGAGGAUCCGAGCGUUAUCCGGAUUUAUUGGGUUUAAAGGGUGCGCAGGCGGAAGAUUAAGUCGGCGGUGAAAUUUUGCAGCUCAACUGUAAAAGUGCCUUCGAAACUGGUUUUCUUGAGUGUGGAUGAAGUAGGCGGAAUUUGUGGUGUAGCGGUGAAAUGCAUAGAUAU
rnacentral:rRNA from 1 species